rnacentral:rRNA from 1 species
GACAGAGGUGCCGAGCGUUGAGCGGAAUCACUGGGCUUAAAGCGUGUGUAGGCGGAUCUGUAAGUACCUUGUGAAAUCCCACGGCUCAACCGUGGAACUGCUUGGUAUACUGCGGGUCUUGAGCCACCUAGGGGCAAGUGGAACAAACGGUGGAGCGGUGAAAUGCGUAGAUAUCGUUUGGAACGCCAAUGGUGAAAACAACUUGCUGGGGGUGUGCUGACGCUGAGACACGAAAGCCAGGGGAGCGAAACGGG